rnacentral:rRNA from 1 species
UACGAAGGGGGCUAGCGUUGCUCGGAAUCACUGGGCGUAAAGCGCACGUAGGCGGAUCUUUAAGUCAGGGGUGAAAUCCCAAGGCUCAACCUUGGAACUGCCUUUGAUACUGGGGAUCUCGAGUCCGGAAGAGGUUGGUGGAACUCCGAGUGUAGAGGUGAAAUUCGUAGAUAUUCGGAGGAACACCAGUGGCGAAGGCGGCUCACUGGUCCAUUACUGACGCUGAGGUGCGAAAGCGUGGGGAGCAAACAGGG